rnacentral:rRNA from 1 species
UACGAAGGGGGCUAGCGUUGCUCGGAAUCACUGGGCGUAAAGGGUGCGUAGGCGGGUCUUUAAGUCAGGGGUGAAAUCCUGGAGCUCAACUCCAGAACUGCCUUUGAUACUGAUGAUCUUGAGUUCGGGAGAGGUGAGUGGAACUGCGAGUGUAGAGGUGAAAUUCGUAGAUAUUCGCAAGAACACCAGUGGCGAAGGCGGCUCACUGGCCCGAUACUGACGCUGAGGCACGAAAGCGUGGGGAGCAAACAGG